GAUGAACGCUGGCGGCGUGCCUAAUACAUGCAAGUCGAGCGAACGGACGAGAAGCUUGCUCCUCUGACGUUAGCGGCGGACGGGUGAGUAACACGUAGGUAACCUACCUAUAAGACUGGGAUAACUUCGGGAAACCGGAGCUAAUACCGGAUAAUAUUUUGAACCGCAUGGUUCAAUAGUGAAAGAUGGUUUUGCUGUCACUUAUAGAUGGAUCUGCGCUGCAUUAGCUAGUUGGUAAGGUAACGGCUUACCAAGGCAACGAUGCGUAGCCGACCUGAGAGGGUGAUCGGCCACACUGGAACUGAGACACGGUCCAGACUCCUACGGGAGGCAGCAGUAGGGAAUCUUCCGCAAUGGGCGAAAGCCUGACGGAGCAACGCCGCGUGAGUGAUGAAGGUCUUCGGAUCGUAAAACUCUGUUAUUAGGGAAGAACAUAUGUGUAAGUAACUGUGCACGUCUUGACGGUACCUAAUCAGAAAGCCACGGCUAACUACGUG
rnacentral:rRNA from 1 species